rnacentral:rRNA from 1 species
CCCUUAGACGUUCUGGGCCGCACGCGCGCUACACUGACGAAGGCAACGAGCUUUCCUUUACCGAAAGGUACGGGUAAUCUUUUGAAACUUCGUCGUGCUGGGGAUAGAUCCUUGCAAUUUUUGAUCUUAAACGAGGAAUGCCUAGUAGGCGCAAGUCAUCAGCUUGCGUCGAUUACGUCCCUGCCCUUUGUACACACCGCCCGUCGCUCCUACCGAUUGGGUGUGCUGGUGAAAUGUUCGGAUCGGCCGUUUGUCGCGGUUUCCGCGUCAUGUGGCUGAGAAGUUCAUUAAACCCUCCCACCUAGAGGAAGGAGAAGUCGUAACA